AUAGGCUUACGGCCACAUCGGUUCUCGUACGUUCACCGAAGUUAAGCAACGUCGAGCCUGGUUAGUACCUAGAUGGGUGGCAGCUUGGGAAUACUGCGUGCAGCAAA